rnacentral:sRNA from 1 species
UAUGGUUCGGUGUGAUUUUCGUGCGAAAAGGGAUUUUUGGCGGCGGAAUUUUCCGAUUCAACAUUCACAUUCCGCUGGAAUUCCCGGACGCUUCUGAUCUACCACGUGUGAUUUUUGAGCAGUCAAACCUAUUCCACCCACUGAUUUGCACAAAAUCCAAGGAGUUAUGCCUGAACCGGUCAUUUCCAGAAGGAUGGAAAAAGGAAAAGCAUAGCCUGAGACGGGUACUGGUGGUUUUGCAGG